rnacentral:rRNA from 1 species
CCUACGGGUGGCAGCAGUGAGGAAUAUUGGUCAAUGGGCGAGAGCCUGAACCAGCCAAGUCGCGUGAAGGAUGAAGGAUCUAUGGUUUGUAAACUUCUUUUAUAUGGGAAUCAAGUGAGGAACGUGUUCCUUUUUGUAUGUACCAUAUGAAUAAGCAUCGGCUAACUCCGUGCCAGCAGCCGCGGUAAUACGGAGGAUGCGAGCGUUAUCCGGAUUUAUUGGGUUUAAAGGGUGCGUAGGCGGGCUUUUACGUCAGCGGUAAAAAUUCGGGGCUCAACCCCGUCCGGCCGUUGAAACUGGGGGCCUUGAGUGGGCGAGAAGAAGGCGGAAUGCGUGGUGUAGCGGUGAAAUGCAUAGAUAUCACGCAGAACCCCGAUUGCGAAGGCAGCCUUCCGGCGCCCUACUGACGCUGAGGCACGAAAGUGCGGGGAUCGAACAGGAUUAGAUACCCGAGUAGUC